AAUGGGUCAGCGACUUAUAUUCUGUAGCAAGGUUAACCGAAUAGGGGAGCCGAAGGGAAACCGAGUCUUAACUGGGCGUUAAGUUGCAGGGUAUAGACCCGAAACCCGGUGAUCUAGCCAUGGGCAGGUUGAAGGUUGGGUAACACUAACUGGAGGACCGAACCGACUAAUGUUGAAAAAUUAGCGGAUGACUUGUGGCUGGGGGUGAAAGGCCAAUCAAACCGGGAGAUAGCUGGUUCUCCCCGAAAGCUAUUUAGGUAGCGCCUCGUGAAUUCAUCUCCGGGGGUAGAGCACUGUUUCGGCAAGGGGGUCAUCCCGACUUACCAACCCGAUGCAAACUGCGAAUACCGGAGAAUGUUAUCACGGGAGACACACGGCGGGUGCUAACGUCCGUCGUGAAGAGGGAAACAACCCAGACCGCCAGCUAAGGUCCCAAAGUCAUGGUUAAGUGGGAAACGAUGUGGGAAGGCCCAGACAGCCAGGAUGUUGGCUUAGAAGCAGCCAUCAUUUAAAGAAAGCGUAAUAGCUCACUGGUCGAGUCGGCCUGCGCGGAAGAUGUAACGGGGCUAAACCAUGCACCGAAGCUGCGGCAGCGACGCUUAUGCGUUGUUGGGUAGGGGAGCGUUCUGUAAGCCUGCGAAGGUGUGCUGUGAGGCAUGCUGGAGGUAUCAGAAGUGCGAAUGCUGACAUAAGUAACGAUAAAGCGGGUGAAAAGCCCGCUCGCCGGAAGACCAAGGGUUCCUGUCCAACGUUAAUCGGGGCAGGGUGAGUCGACCC
rnacentral:rRNA from 1 species